CUGGAGGUUCUCUCAGUGCUACAAUGGCUAUCUAUGACGUUGUGCAACUUGUGAGAGCUGAUGUUUCCACAGUUGCCCUUGGCAUCUCAGCAUCAACAGCUUCUAUAAUCCUUGGUGGUGGCACAAUAGGCAAACGCUUUGCCAUGCCGAACACAAGGAUCAUGAUUCAUCAACCUCUGGGAGGAGCUAGUGGGCAAGCAAUAGAUGUGGAGAUUCACGAGAAAUUAUGCAUAACAAGAAUAAUGUCAUUAGAAUUAUUUCAGGUUUCACUGGUCGCAC
rnacentral:misc_RNA from 1 species